rnacentral:rRNA from 1 species
CUACCAUGCAGUCGAACGGUAGCAGGGAAACAGCUUGCUGGUUUGCUGACGAGUGGCGGACGGGUGAGUAAUGUCUGGGAAACUGCCUGAUGGAGGGGGAUAACUACUGGAAACGGUAGCUAAUACCGCAUAACGUCGCAAGACCAGAGAGGGGGACCUUCGGGCCUCUUGCCAUCGGAUGUGCCCAGAUGGGAUUAGCUUGUUGGUGGGGUAACGGCUCACCAAGGCGACGAUCCCUAGCUGGUCUGAGAGGAUGACCAGCCACACUGGAACUGAGACACGGUCCAGACUCCUACGGGAGGCGGCAGUGGGGAAUAUUGCACAAUGGGCGCAAGCCUGAUGCAGCCAUGCCGCGUGUAUGAACAAGGCCUUCGGGUUGUAAAGUACUUUCAGCGGGGAGGAAGGGAGUAAAGUUAAUACCUUUGCUCAUUGACGUUACCCGCAGAACAAGCACCGGCUAACUCCGUGCCAGCAGCCGCGGUAAUACGGAGGGUGCAAGCGUUAAUCGGAAUUACUGGGCGUAAAGCGCACGCAGGCGGUUUGUUAAGUCAGAUGUGAAAUCCCCGGGCUCAACCUGGGAACUGCAUCUGAUACUGGCAAGCUUGAGUCUCGUAGAGGGGGGGUAGAAUUCCAGGUGUAGCGGUGAAAUGCGUAGAGAUCUGGAGGAAUACCGGUGGCGAACGCGGCCCCCUGAUACUAAGACUGACGCUGCAGGUGCGAAAGCGUGCGGAGCAAUCAGGAUUACCAUACCCUG